GAUGAACGCUGGCGGCGUGCUUAACACAUGCAAGUCGAACGAAGCGCUUUACCGGAUUUCUUCGGAAUGAAAGUUUUGUGACUGAGUGGCGGACGGGUGAGUAACGCGUGGGUAACCUGCCUCAUACAGGGGGAUAACAGUUAGAAAUGACUGCUAAUACCGCAUAAGACCACAGGACCGCAUGGCCCAGUGGUAAAAACUCCGGUGGUAUGAGAUGGACCCGCGUCUGAUUAGCUAGUUGGUAAGGUAACGGCUUACCAAGGCGACGAUCAGUAGCCGACCUGAGAGGGUGACCGGCCACAUUGGGACUGAGACACGGCCCAAACUCCUACGGGAGGCAGCAGUGGGGAAUAUUGCACAAUGGGGGAAACCCUGAUGCAGCGACGCCGCGUGAGCGAUGAAGUAUUUCGGUAUGUAAAGCUCUAUCAGCAGGGAAGAAAAUGACGGUACCKACUAAGAAG
rnacentral:rRNA from 1 species